rnacentral:snoRNA from 1 species
AAAUAAUAAGAACUAAUGAGGGCCCUUCUCCAUGAGUCUCUCACAGUGGACUCAUGCCAGAGUAACUGCAGCCUCCAAGCAUUGCCCAGCCCUUCACCUGCGGGCUGUGAGCACUGAAGAGGCUUGUACAGUA